rnacentral:rRNA from 1 species
GACGAACCGUGCGAACGUUGUUCGGAAUCACUGGGCUUAAAGGGCGCGUAGGCGGGUCGGAUAGUCUGCGGUGAAAUCCUCCAGCUUAACUGGAGAACUGCCGUGGAUACUCCCGGCCUCGAGGAGGGUAGGGGCAUCUGGAACAGCCGGUGGAGCGGUGAAAUGCGUUGAUAUCGGCUGGAACUCCGGUGGCGAAGGCGAGAUGCUGGACCCUUUCUGACGCUGAGGCGCGAAAGCCAGGGGAGCGAACGGG